UACGUAGGGUGCAAGCGUUAAUCGGAAUUACUGGGCGUAAAGCGUGCGCAGGCGGUCCGUUAAGACAGAUGUGAAAUCCCCGGGCUUAACCUGGGAACUGCAUUUGUGACUGGCGGACUCGAGUAUGGCAGAGGGGGGGUAGAAUUCCACGUGUAGCAGUGAAAUGCGUAGAGAUGUGGGAGGAAUACCGAUGGCGAAGGCAGCCCCCCUGGGCCAAUACUGACGCUCAUGCACGAAAGCGUGGGGAGCAAACAGGAUUACGAA
rnacentral:rRNA from 1 species